GUGGGGAAUAUUGGACAAUGGGCGAAAGCCUGAUCCAGCCAUGCCGCGUGUGUGAAGAAGGUCUUCGGAUUGUAAAGCACUUUAAGUUGGGAGGAAGGGCAGUAAGUUAAUACCUUGCUGUUUUGACGUUACCGACAGAAUAAGCACCGGCUAACUUCGUGCCAGCAGCCGCGGUAAUACGAAGGGUGCAAGCGUUAAUCGGAAUUACUGGGCGUAAAGCGCGCGUAGGUGGCUUUGUAAGUUGGAGGUGAAAUCCCCGGGCUCAACCUGGGAACUGCCUCCAAAACUGCAUGGCUAGAGUACGGUAGAGGGUAGUGGAAUUUCCUGUGUAGCGGUGAAAUGCGUAGAUAUAGGAAGGAACACCAGUGGCGAAGGCGACUACCUGGACUGAUACUGACACUGAGGUGCGAAAGCGUGGGGAGCAAACAGGAUUAGAAACCCCGGUAGUCC
rnacentral:rRNA from 1 species